AAUCAACGCUGGCGGCGUGCCUAACACAUGCAAGUCGAACGAGAAAGUGGUAGCAAUACCAUGAGUAAAGUGGCGCACGGGUGAGUAACACGUGACUAACCUACCCUGGAGUGGGGGAUAACUGAGGGAAACCUUAGCUAAUACCGCAUAAUACCUACGGGUCAAAGGAGCAAUUCGCUCUGGGAGGGGGUCGCGGCCGAUUAGUUAGUUGGCGGGGUAAUGGCCCACCAAGACGAUGAUCGGUAUCCGGCCUGAGAGGGCGCACGGACACACUGGAACUGAAACACGGUCCAGACUCCUACGGGAGGCAGCAGUGGGGAAUUUUGCGCAAUGGGGGAAACCCUGACGCAGCAACGCCGCGUGGAGGAUGAAGUACUUCGGUACGUAAACUCCUUUCGAUCGGGACGAUAAUGACGGUACCGAGAGAAGAAGCCCCGGCUAACUUCGUGCCAGCAGCCGCGGUAAUACGAGGGGGGCGAGCGUUGUUCGGAAUUAUUGGGCGUAAAGGGUGCGUAGGCGGUUUGGUAAGUCUCGUGUGAAAUCUAUGGGCUCAACUCAUAGUCCGCACGAGAAACUGCCG
rnacentral:rRNA from 1 species